ensembl:lncRNA
CGCAAAGGCUGGGUCUUUGGCUUAUAAAAGAGGUCGGCAGGUCUGAGACCUUACUUCCUGGCUAGAGAAGCAAUGAAAUCCUGCUUUUUCCAGGAGGCAUGCAGGAUAUUCCCAACUUGGGAUCGAACCCACGUCUCCUGCAAUGAAAGUACAGAGGCGUAACCACCGAGAAUCCCACCCCGACUCGCCCAGCCUAGUGUAUUCUCUUCUGGUAGCUGACCUUUUGUGUCCCCAAAGGGUUUUGUCUGUAAUUUGCCGUGUUGAAUAUGCUGCUGCAAAGUCGCUUCAGUCGUGUCCUACUCUGUGCGACCCUGUAGAUGGCAGCCCACCAGGCUCCCCCGUCCCUUGCUCAAUUAAAAGCUCUGCGUAUCAUAAUUUUAUUCAAUUAUCAUAAUUGUUAAUGUCAAAUGUUAUGUCAUAAAUGUUAAUAAAACAAAUUUUAAUGUCAUAAAUAUUAAUAAAACAGUAUACCUAUAUUGUGUCCUGUUUAUUUUUCCAGUCAUUUAUUUCCAAAGUUGGUCCUUGAACACUAUGAGGAGUUUCUGGGGGCUUGCUGGAAAGUGGGACUAUCUCAGUGGGUGCCUCCAGGGGUCUCUGGGUCCCUAGACCAUUCUUAAGGGUGCAGCUUCGAUCCCUAGUGGGGAAAACAUUAAUUCCUCAUAGG